rnacentral:rRNA from 1 species
UACGUAGGGUGCAAGCGUUGUCCGGAAUUAUUGGGCGUAAAGAGCUCGUAGGCGGUUCGUCACGUCGGCUGUGAAAAUCCCGAGGCUCAACCUCGGGUCUGCAGUCGAUACGGGCGGACUGGAGUACUGCAGGGGAGACUGGAAUUCCUGGUGUAGCGGUGAAAAUGCGCAGAUAUCAGGAGGAACACCGGUGGCGAAGGCGGGGUCUCUGGGGCCGAUACUGACGCUGAGGAGCGAAAGCGUGGGGGAGCGAACAGG